rnacentral:rRNA from 1 species
UUUUCAGUGUCGCAGCAAAAGCGUAAAGCACACCGCCUGGGGAGUACGACCGCAAGGUUAAAACUCAAAUGAAUUGACGGGGACCCGCACAAGUAGUGGAGCAUGUGGUUUAAUUCGAAGAUACGCGCAGAACCUUACCAACACUUGACAUGUUCGUCGCGACUCUAAGAGAUUAGAGUUUUCGGUUCGGCCGGACGAAACACAGGUGCUGCAUGGCUGUCGUCAGCUCGUGUCGUGAGAUGUUGGGUUAAGUCCCGCAACGAGCGCAACCCCCACUUUUAGUUGCUACCAUUUAGUUGGGCACUCUAAAAGAACUGCCAGUGAUAAGCUGGAGGAAGGCGGGGAUGACGUCAAGUCCUCAUGGCCCUUACGUGUUGGGCUACACACGUGCUACAAUGGUACUUACAGUGAGAAGCGAAGAGGCGACUCUAAGCCAAUCCCUAAAAGGUACCUCAGUUCGGAUUGUACUCUGCAACUCGAGUACAUGAAGCUGGAAUUACUAGUAAUCGCGGAUCAGCGCGCCGCGGUGAAUACGUUCCCGGGUCUUGUACACACCGCCCGUCACACCAUGGAAGUUGGUUACACCUUAAGGCAAAGCGUAAAACCUUUGACUACGGUACGAUCAGCGACUGGGGUGAAGUCGUAACAAGGUAGCCGUAGGGGAACCUGCGGCUGGAUCACCUCCUU